UUUUCACUUGGCCCACGUACACCUGCUCAAUUUUACUUGGCCCCACACCAUGACAUGCUGACGGACAGGUUGUUAUUAUUUGUUCACUGCUGGCAGACUAGCUGUCACUACUUUUACCGAUAGACAAUUUGUGGGCUUAAAUUAGUUUUGCCGACAGACGGUUUGCCAGUAAGUCUAGUGGCAGAUUGUGUGCCAUCUAAAGUCUACUUUUGCCAACAGAUAGUUCGACACCUAUCCUAGCUUUCCAUGUGCAGCCGCACUACAAGCUUUCAAACGCUUAAUAUUGUUGCUUUCGCGCGUCCCCUUAAGAUAUUAUCAAUUAGCCCUUUCUUGGAUUGUUGCACAUUGUUGAAACCAAAGGCACAACCUACCACCAACCAACACAUCAAAAUUACUGCCAUGCAUAUCUCUGACCAACGUUUGCCUCAAAUUUCUUUUACGAAUUAAACUAGUGGCUUUGCGCAAAAAAAAAAAAUUAAACUAGUGGCUGACUUCAGAUCUAAGUUCUAUUAGGGAAUGCAUGCACAAUAAUUAGAAUGAGUUUAUCGUAUCUCACACAUUGUCGCAAAUCACAUUGAUCUGGCUAGGACGUUUAAUUGUUUAACUACUUGGUACUUGCAGCAGUGUCAGGGCUCCAAACGGCCUAAUGUGAUUUUUGAAGCUGGAUUUUGAGAAGGCUUUUGACACAAUGUAGCCAGAUUUCAUAUUGCAAAUCACAUCGUUCCUAAAAUUUUGAAAAUUUUCUUAACAAGGCAUAUGGUACUUCCCAACACUUGAUGAAAUGUUUACAAAACUUCAUUAAAUGUCCAUUUAAAAAAUAAGAUCUCCCUAGCUAUUUAUAUAAACUUGGUUCAACUAGCUAGUGCACUCAUCCGGCUGAUCUGUUUUCCGACUACAGAUUUUGAUCCCAGUAAAAUGCAAAUUUGCCUAGAAUCUCAUAAAAUUAACGCUUUGUAUGCAUCUGAUCUAGUUUGACCAAGGUACCACAUGCAAUAGAUCGCCCUCUCUAUUGCCUCAAAAAUGGAAAAAAUAUAUAUUAAAACAUAGGCUUUGCCAUGUGUCCGCUAGGGGAAACUCGGAAAGAGGACGUGCCUGCAGCCACGGGCAGACGGGGCCACAUGUCCACCAAUGUUUCUAUGUGCACAUCUUUGUCGAGUGGCUUCUUAAUAUUUUGUCUGUGUGUGUGAGCAAUUUUAAAAUUUUGCUUAGUCCUUCUCUUUGCCGAUAGAGAGCCUCUGGCCCAGUUUGCCGGGGGCCGUGUACUCUCUGCCAAGUGCGUUUUCUCCCGGGGUUCCACAGCAAAAAUUGUCAAUCCUCUAAAAAAAAAAGAAGCAAAAUUUGUCUUUUGCCGAGGCAGGGAGGCCCACGGCAGCCCCGUGGAGUCAUGCAGAACACGCGCCCCCUCGCGUGGAACCCCAAAUCGAAACGCUUCUACACAUGAAACAAACGGAACCAAAUUACUCCGUGCUCAAAAACGGAAGCAAAUUACUCCGUGUGCUCCCCAUCAGCCUCCAGCCUCUAUAUAUUUGCCUCUCCGCCGCCGAGCCGAGAGCAACGAAACCC
rnacentral:lncRNA from 1 species